rnacentral:rRNA from 1 species
AGAGUUUGAUCAUGGCUCAGAGCGAACGCUGGCGGCAGGCCUAACACAUGCAAGUCGAGCGCCCCGCAAGGGGAGCGGCAGACGGGAGAGUAACACGUGGGAACGUGCCCUUUGGUUCGGAACAACACAGGGAAACUUGUGCUGAUACCGGGUAAGUCCGUAAGGAGAAAGAUUUAUCGCCAAAGGAUCGGCCCGCGUCUGAUUAGCUUGUUGGCGAGGUAACGGCUCACCAAGGCGACGAUCAGUAGCUGGUCUGAGAGGAUGAUCAGCCUCACUGGGACUGAGACACGGCCCAGACUCCUACGGGAGGCAGCAGUGGGGAAUAUUGGACAAUGGGCGCAAGCCUGAUCCAGCCAUGCCGCGUGGAUGAUGAAGGCCCUAGGGUUGUAAAGUCCUUUCGGCGGGGAAGAUAAUGACGGUACCCGCAGAAGAAGCCCCGGCUAACUUCGUGCCAGCAGCCGCGGUAAUACGAAGGGGGCUAGCGUUGCUCGGAAUCACUGGGCGUAAAGCGCACGUAGGCGGCUUUUUAAGUCAGAGGUGAAAUCCUGGAGCUCAACUCCAGAACUGCCUUUGAUACUGGAGAGCUUGAGUCCGGGAGAGGUGAGUGGAACUGCGAGUGUAGAGGUGAAAUUCGUAGAUAUUCGCAAGAACACCAGUGGCGAAGGCGGCUCACUGGCCCGGUACUGACGCUGAGGUGCGAAAGCGUGGGGAGCAAACAGGAUUAGAUACCCCCGUAGUCC